AUUUCUAUACCCUAUUUUUCUCUUAUCCCCAUUUUCUUUUCUUAAAAAAUAGUGUAUUGGACAUAUUAUGUGUUUUGAAACAAAGUAGAAUACAAAUAAACAAAUAAGUCGACUUUCUGUCCAAACAAGACAGCAUGAAAAGCAGGAACUUGGUGGUGGUAUGACGUUUCAAUGAACCAAAGAGGCUCUGAUUACCGUCUGUAGACACCCACGGCACAAUUAUUAAGUUCAUUAGACAGAGAGGAAUCUGGAUUCAGCUGUGACAGGACAGCAAAUUAAAUAUACAUGGACAAAAGGAGGAGGCAUUCAAGCUUUUUAUAGUCUUCAACAACAACCAGUCCCUACAUUUAAGAAGGUUAAUAACUGAGACAGCCUUCCUGGUGGAUCCAUCAUUUGGCCCAGCUUGUAGAAAGAUUCCCAACUAGCUCUAAUUAGUUCCAUCUUAUUUGGAGGCAGAGGUAUUCCUCAUCAUACCCAUAUCCUCAUAUAAAUUGUCCAGUGCCCUAGGUACCAGGGAGAAAGAAGACGAAGAAGGACAUAUACCAGAAGCACAUUAAUAGGCUGCUGAAAAACUCUGCCACACUUUCAGAUGACAGGUCACCUACAGAUAAAUGAUUCAAGGAUCAACCAAGUUCUGAAGUUUUUUUUUGUUUUUUUUUUUUGGGAUAGAG
rnacentral:lncRNA from 1 species